GCUUAACACAUGCAAGUCGAACGCGGUCCAUCCAGUGGCAACACUGGUGAAGACCGAGUGGCGAACGGGUGAGUAACACGUGAGCAACCUGUCCCGAAGACCGGGAUAAGCCUGGGAAACCGGGUCUAAUACCGGAUGCCCCCACCGAGCCGCAUGACUCGGUGAGGAAAUGGAUUCCGCUUCGGGAGGGGCUCGCGGCCUAUCAGCUUGUUGGUGGGGUAACGGCCUACCAAGGCGUCGACGGGUAGCUGGUCUGAGAGGACGAUCAGCCACACUGGGACUGAGACACGGCCCAGACUCCUACGGGAGGCAGCAGUGGGGAAUCUUGCGCAAUGGGCGAAAGCCUGACGCAGCAACGCCGCGUGAGGGACGAAGGCCCUCGGGUUGUAAACCUCUUUCAGCAGGGACGAUUGUGACGGUACCUGCAGAAGAAGCCCCGGCCAACUACGUGCCAGCAGCCGCGGUAAUACGUAGGGGGCGAGCGUUGUCCGGAUUCAUUGGGCGUAAAG
rnacentral:rRNA from 1 species